rnacentral:rRNA from 1 species
GGUUUGAUCAUGGCUCAGAUUGAACGCUGGCGGGAUGCUUUACACAUGCAAGUCGAACGCAGCACGGACUUCGGUCUGGUGGCGAGUGGCGAACGGGUGAGUAAUGUAUCGGAACGUGCCUAGUAGCGGGGGAUAACUACGCGAAAGCAGCUAAUACCGCAUACGCUCCCUUCGGGGAAAGCGGGGACCUUCGGGCCUCGCACUAUUAGAGCGGCUGAUAUCGGAUUAGCUAGUUGGUGGGAACGGCUCACCAAGGCGACGAUCCAGUGCUGGUUUGAGAGGACGACCAGCCACACUGGGACUGAGACACGGCCCAGACUCCUACGGAGGCAGCAGUGGGGAAUUUUGGACAAUGGGGAAACCCUGAUCCAGCCAUCCCGCGUGUGCGAUGAAGGCCUUCGGGUUGUAAAGCACUUUUGGCAGGAAAGAAACGGCACGGGAUAAUACCCCGUGCAACUGACGGUACCUGCAGAAUAAGCACCGGCUAACUACGUGCCAGCAGCCGCGGUAAUACGUAGGUGCAAGCGUUAAUCGGAAUUACUGGGCGUAAAGCGUGCGCAGGCGGUUCGGAAAGAAAGAUGAAAUCGCAGAGCUUAACUUUGGAACUGCAUUUUUAACUACCGAGCUAGAGUGUGUCAGAGGGAGGUGGAAUUCCGCGUGUAGCAGUGAAAUGCGUGAUAUGCGGAGGAACACGGAUGGCGAAGGCAGCCUCCUGGGAUAACACUGACGCUCAUGCACGAAAGCGUGGGGAGCAAACAGGAUUAGAUACCCUGGUAGUCCACGCCCUAAACGAUGUCAACUAGCUGUUGGGGAAGCCUCGGGCCUUCGGUAGCGCAGCUAACGCGUGAAGUUGACCGCCUGGGGAGUACGGUCGCAAGAUUAAAACUCAAAGGAAUUGACGGGGACCCGCACAAGCGGUGGAUGAUGUGGAUUAAUUCGAUGCAACGCGAAAAACCUUACCUACCCUUGACAUGUCUGGAAUCCCGAAGAGAUUUGGGAGUGCUCGCAAGAGAACCGGAACACAGGUGCUGCAUGAAGGUCGUCAGCUCGUGUCGUGAGAUGCUGGGUUAAGUCCCGCAACGAGCGCAACCCUUUGUCAUUAGUUGCUACGAAAGGGCACUCUAAUGAGACUGCCGGUGACAAAGUCCGGAGGAAGGUGGGAUGACGUCAAGUCCUCAUGGCCCUUAUGGGUAGGGCUUCACACGUCAUACAAUGGUCGGGACAGAGGGUCGCCAACCCGCGAGGGGGAGCCAAUCCCCAGAAACCCGAUCAGUCCGAUCGCAGUCUGCAACCUCGACUGCGUGAAGUCGGAAUCGCUAGUAAUCGCGUGAUCAGCAUGGUCGCGGUGAAUACGUUCCCGGGUCUUGUACACACUGCCCGUCACACCAUGGGAGUGGGUUUUACCAGAAGUAGUUAGCCUAACCGUAAGGAGGGCGAUUACCACGGUAGAUUCAUGACUGGGGUGAAGUCGUAACAAGGUAA